rnacentral:rRNA from 1 species
CGGGGUGAGUAAUGUAUGGGGAUCUGCCUGAUGGCGGGGGGUAACUACUGAAACGGUAGCUAAUACCGCAUAAUGUCUGCGGACCAAAGCGGGGGACCGUCCGGGCCUCGCGCCAUCAGAUGAACCCAUAUGGGAUUAGCUAGUAGGUAAGGUAACGGCUUACCUAGGCGACGAUCCCUAGCUGGUCUGAGAGGAUGAUCAGCCACACUGGGACUGAGACACGGCCCAG